CAAGUUACAUUUCACAGGAAGAAGAAUCUCCAGUACUAUGAGAUUUCAGUAAAGAGCAAUUAUAAUUUUGAGAAGUCAUUCCUUUAUCUUGUCAGAAAACUUGCAGGGGACCCUAACCUUCACUUUGUCGAAUCACCUGCACUGGCACCUCCUGAAGUUCAGAUUGACUUGGCUGCACAGCAACA